AUGUGUUUGGUCACCUUUUUUAAUUUUCCCACAGUCUGUUUGAAUCCUGAAGGAUGUAAUCCCAGCCUCUCGGUGUUGAUGCUGCUGUUUCAUUUGGACGAACGUCAAAUUAAUGAAACAAGAUCCAUUCUGAUCCUAGUGGAGCUUAGCUCACUCCUCUCCUUUCUCUCACCCCGUAGUCUUUCAAUUAGAAACAAAAGCUUUAUUGGCACUGGUAAUAAAUGUUAUUAUUCUCUCCCUCCUUCCCCCCUCUCUCUGUCUCUGUCUCUGUCUCUGUCUCUCUCCCCCCCCUCUCUCUGUCGUUGUCUCUCUCUCUCUCUCUCUCUCUCUCUCUCUCUCUCUCUCUCUCUCUCUCUCUCUCUCUCUCUCUCUCUCUCUCUCUCUCUCUCUCUCUCUCUCUCCUCAGCUUGCCACAGAAGAAGCACACCUAUCUUCCUCCCGUCCUCAUCAGGUGUGCUGCCCUCGUUAGCCUCUCCUCUCGUUAGAGCCCGGUCAGCGAUGGCGGACGAUCACUGGGCGUCGGACGGACGGCAGAACGGACAGAACGGCUUCUCCUCCUCCUCCUACACCCCCGACUACCGGGAGAACGGUUUCCAUGGCGACGCCGCACACGCCGCCGUGGCAGUUGAUGACUCUGCCAACUUGCCUCCCUCCCCUCCCCCCUCCCCGUCCGCUGAGCAAAUCGGUCCAGUGGCAUCAGGUACACACACCGACACACGCAAACGCACACACACAGAGCAGAGGACGUGUGAUUGUGAGGUGAGGGAAUUCAAAGAGAUCAGGUGACCUGCUGCAGCUCAUUGAUUGGUCCGGUUAGGCUCCUCCUCUUUCUGCACGCUCCCUCUCUUCGGUCAAUUAGCUGUUGAUCAGCCCUGUGAAUAGACACCCAGCUGUGACAUCACAAGUGGGCUGGUACCCAACUGGCUGAUCCAUCCCAUCAUACCUCCGGUGAACCCUCCCACUUGUGAUGUCACAAAUGUGGAGACUUCCAAACGGCCCAUAACGGUCCCAAAUAGAGACCCUCUCUGCUUCCUUUUAGCAUCCCCCCCGUCAGCACCAAGCAUCCUCCUCUUCAUCUCCUCUCCACCUUCCUCCUCCUUUCUAUCCUCUGUUUCCCACAAUCCUUUGCAGCAGUCGAUGAGGCCGGGGGAUGAGAAGUGAUUGAUGUAUGGCGUCGCCGCCGCCAUGUUUGUAGUUUGUUUGGCGGGUUCUCUUCUGGUAGGGCCUGCUGUCAUUAACCCCACACGCUGUGACCAACGUUAUGCAUCAUUUAACUGUAACAUUCCCAUCCUAUUCUAUUGCACUCAAACCCUUUUUUCAUUAACAUGUAUUUAUUAAUUCAUGGAUUAAUUAAUAAACAUCAUGUUUUUAUUAAUAACUGAUUCAGCCGGGUGCAUGUGAUCUUCAGAUAACCUUCUCGUCAUUAUUUAAAGUUUAUUUUCACUCCCCACUGCUGACACUGAGUAAACACACUUAUCUUUAAUCAGAGCCAUCAAUCAAACUGUGUGUAUGAACUGCUUUCGACGCAAAAGCGAGACUAGUUGUUUAAAACCACAAUAAAACCAAGUGACCGGCAGAGAUACAGCAGAGCGGUGGAAGUCGUCAUGACAACGUCUCCACCAAACCUACCCUACAUUCACACUACCUCCGUCCGUCGACGGAUCUCAAGGGGCGCUCUCGAAAUGCAUUGUGGGUCCGUCCGUUCUGUCAGCUCUGUGGCCUGCGACAAGAAGUUGCGAAAUGUACAACUUUUCAGGCAGCAACGGAUCCGUCGGCCAAUCAGAUCGCGUUAUACAAAUAUAUGCAAAUACACUGUCCAAUGAAAUCGCCUUUGUAAUACAACCCGGGAAAAUACAUUAUUAGUGUACACACGUUAUCCUUCAGCUAAAGGCCAAUUUCCGCCAGAACCAUCACGAAAGCAUCACGGCAGUAAAACGGUCGCAGAACAUAAUAGAAACCAUUAUAGUCAAUGUAGGCUAUUCCACUGGAUGUGGUCACGGCACAGAACCGUCCCCAAACCGGCACUGCGUUUACGAUACUUGCCUCAUCUAUUUUUUGAAAGUUGCCGGUUCGCAGCCGUGUCUCAUAACACUUCUACAGCCAUUCAGUUUGCAUUUGCUCAUGAAUUUUCGUGAGCUCACAUCGACCCGUAGGCAAUUCACAAACAGGGUAUUGUAAUAUUAUCCAGUCGAUCUUUGGUGUCAAUAGUUAAUCAGUAGCAAAGAAGAAAUGAAAGUCUGCGUCGAUGCCUCGUCUAUUCUCUAAUCGCAAGUCCAGUGUCGGGGGCUGCCUGCGACGUUGCCAUGACAUCUAAAAACCGUAUUUAACGGGUUAUAUUAUAAUAUUGAUGUGUAGGGGUUGAAUAUAACUCGUGAAUAAUAAUUUAUGAAUCAAUCUAAUCAUAAUCAUUUUUACAAUUCUUUUAGGCCUAUUACGUAUAAUUAUGCACGUCUUGAGCCAUCAGUCGGAACGUGUCCGGGGCGCUUCCAGUGGGGACUGCGGUACGGAACACAGCCGCUAACGUAGCGCGUGUAGCUACGUAGCGCGUGUAGCUACGUAGCGCGUGUAGCUACGUAGCGGUACGGAGCGGGUCAGCUGACCGGAGGAGGGUCGGACCCAUCUCUCCCAUGUCCACCGUCUGUCCGCAUCUGUCUCACAUCUGUACCGUGUCCCACCUCUCAUGUCCCCCUCCUCCCAUGUCACCCCCACCCCUCCACCUUCUCCUCCCCCCCCCCCCCCCCUCCUUCCUCUUCCUACCCCCUCUCCCCCCCCGCUCCUCCUCACCAAAAGAGGAGGCAGUAGAGGGUAUCGGUGUAUCUCCCUGUGAGGUGACGCCCCAUGAAGAGGAGGAGCAGGAGGCUCCGUCGGAGCCCCCGGCCUUGGAGGACCCCCAGCCAGUAGACCUGCCCUUAGGGCGGGCCGCUUAUGUAGGCGAGGCCCAGGCUCUCAGAGAAGGCCCUCAGGUUGUGAAUGGAGGAGGACACCACAGCCCACAGACACAGCAAGCAGGUGUGUGAGUGUGUGUGUUGGGGGGAGGGUACUUCUCUCUCUUUUUUUGUGCUUUCUUUCUCUCCCUCUUCAACUGUCUCUCUCUCAGUCUCUCUCUCUCUGUCUCUCUCUCUCUCUGUCUCUGUCUCUCUCUCAGUCUCUCUCUCUCUCUGUCUCUGCCCCUCUCUCUGUCUCUGUCUCUGUCUCUGUCUGUCUCUGUCUCUGUCUCUGUCUCUCUCUCUCUCUGUCUCUCUCUCUGUCUCUCUCUCAGUCUCUCUCUCUCUCUGUCUCUGCCCCUCUCUCUCUCUCUCUGUCUCUGUCUCUGUCUCUGUCUCUGUCUCUCUCUCUCUCUGUCCCUGUCUCUCUCUCUGUCUCUCUCUCGCUGUCUCUCUACCUCUCUCUCUGUCUCUCUCUCUCUCUCUCUCUCUCUGUCUCUGUCUCUGUCUCUGUCUCUGUCUCUCUCCCUCUCUCUCUCCCUCUCUGUCUCUAUUUGUUUUUUGUGCGCUUGUCAAUGCACACGCACAAUCUGCAGCUGUCUAAGAGUGUGUGUGUGCGUGCACACCAGCAUUAUAUCUGUGCUGCACGGUUGACCUUGUGACCUCUGGAUGAUCACAAUGUUCUGGAUGAGGGUGAGCGCAUUGAGAGCGAGGCCCUAAACAUUGUCACUACUGAGACAUUUAUAUUAAGCCUGGGCGAUAUGGCUGGAAGACAUAUCCCGAUAUAACUUGAUCAUAUUGAUCGAUAUCUAUUGAUCAUUUGAAUGACCUAAAAAGAGUAGGAAUUACCAUGCUGGAUUCAAACACUUCUGUUUGACACUUAAUUUGACCUUCAACCGUUCUUCAUUGAUGAAUACUCCAUGUCGAUACAACAAUGAGAACCUUCAAAUAUUAUAAAUAAGUAUGGAACUGCGUUUGUGGAACAAACCCAGCUGCUACAAUCGCUGGUCCAGUCUCUUAUCGAUAUAUAUUGAACAUAUUUUAGAUUGAUCAAAAGUCUAUCACGAUACAAUCAUUUAUUGUUUUAUUGUCCAGGCCAAAUAUAUAUCAUAUCUAAAUCGAGAUAUAGGCUGAGAUAUCUCAAGUUGCAGCUGAAAUGGCAGUUGGGGACCUCACCCACAUUUAUCAGUCAUGUUCCUGCUCACGGUGUAAAGCUAAUGCUAACACUAAAGCAUUAGCUUUAGUAUCGCAUAACGAACAGUGAAAAGCUAACGCUAGUACCGAGACAAUGCUACAUGGAACAGGAAGAAGCUAACGCUAGUACAGAGGCACUGCUACAUGGAGCAGGGAGAGGCUAACGCAAGCAGCACAUCAUCAUGACUGACGUUCUCUCACUGGUUGCUAACUGUGGCUAGCUGAGGCUGCUCUCCAGGUAUCGUCGCUGGCUGUUGUCCGCCCGCCUGUCUGCUCUGACGUCAUGUGUUCUGUGCAGCAUCGCCUUAAAGGGCCGGCGCUUCACCACCGGCCGUGAAAAUCGAGCCGUUUGUGACAUCACAAGUGGUAGGGUCCACAUCCAGGCGGG
ensembl:lncRNA